rfam:Plasmodium gonderi DNA, contig: Chr04.
UUAAAGGCAUUUUUUAAUGCCAUCCAUAUAAUCUUUAAAAGUAAC